rnacentral:rRNA from 1 species
GAUGAACGCUGGCGGCGUGCCUAAUACAUGCAAGUCGAGCGAACAGACGAGGAGCUUGCUCCUCUGACGUUAGCGGCGGACGGGUGAGUAACACGUGGAUAACCUACCUAUAAGACUGGGAUAACUUCGGGAAACCGGAGCUAAUACCGGAUAAUAUAUUGAACCGCAUGGUUCAAUAGUGAAUGACGGUUUUGCUGUUACUUAUAGAUGGAUCCGCGCCGCAUUAGCUAGUUGGUAAGGUAACGGCCUACCAAGGCAACGAUGCGUAGCCGACCUGAGAGGGUGAUCAGCCACACUGGAACUGAGACACGGUCCAGACUCCUACGGGAGGCAGCAGUAGGGAAUCUUCCGCAAUGGGCGAAAGCCUGACGGAGCAACGCCGCGUGGGUGAUGAAGGUCUUCGGAUCGUAAAACUCUGUUAUUAGGGAAGAACAAAUGUGUAAGUAACUAUGCACGUCUUGACGGUACCUAAUCAGAAAGCCACGGCUAACUACGUG